AAUGAGCUUGGAUCAUUAAGGCCACGCCCCUAUUCUGAGUUCUAGUGGGACCCUGGUUACACCUCCUCUGGCUCAGUUGCAUAGCUGCCUGGCAUGUUACUGGAGGUACUUUGCAGUCAUUGCUGGGAUUUCACUGAUGUGACCCCAAUGCUGCCUCUCUCUCCACACCACGAUGUCGGAAGAAACUCAACAGAGUAAAUUGGCUGUGGCCAAGAAAAAGUCCUCGAGCCGCUGUGAAGCAGUCCUCAAGUGGCAGUUAUGGCAGUCGGUAAAGGCUCGGGCACAGCUGGAAGCACACGUGACACAGAUGAUGGAACAAGUCCAGCUAGAGACAGAUGAAUAUGCUCAACAUCUAAAAGGAGAGAGGGCCCGGUGGCAGCAGAGGGUAUGGAAAAUGUCAGAGGAGGUUUGCACAUGGAAGGAGGAGAAGAAGCAUGACAGGCAUCGGGUACAGGAGCUGGAGAGGAGCUUGGCCAACCUCAAAAACUAGAUGGCUGAACCCCUGCCCCCGGAGCCCCCAGCAGGGCCCUCUGAGGUGGAACAGCAGCUACAAGCUGAGGCCGAGCACCCGAGGAAGGAGCUGGAGAGUCUGGCAGGACAGCUCCAAGCUCAGGUGCAAAACAAUCAAGGCUUGAGUCACCUGAACUGGGAGCAGGAGGAGAGGCUGCUGGAGCUGGGGGGGAAAGCCAAGCUCUGGGCGGAGCAGGCAGAGACGUGCAUGCAGGCCCUGCGGAACCACACCACCAUCAACCACGCGCUCUCUCAGAACCAUGAGCUCGACUAGCAGCUGGCUGGGCCACAGAGCGGCUUAGAGGAGCUGAAUGAUGAGAAUAAGAGGGCACUACAGUUGGAGCAGUAAGUAAAGGAGCUGCAGGAGAAGCUGGGCAAGCUGAAGGAGACUGUGAAGCUGAAGAGCCAAGAGGCUCAGAGUCUGCAGCAGCAGGGAUACCAGUCCCUGGGUCACCUGCAGCAGCACGUGGCUGCCUAUCAGCAGCUGACCUCUGAGAAGGAGGCGCAGCACAGGCAGUUACUGCUGCAGACCCAGCUCAUGGACCAGCUGCAGCAGCAGGAAGCUUGGGGCAAAGCGGUGGACGAGAUGGCCCACCAAAAGUUGCAGGAGACCCAGGAGCACCUGGAAGGUACCAGCCAGCAGAACCAGCAGCUACAGGCCCAGUUGAGCCUCAUGGCAGUCCCUAGGCAAGGUACAGGAGAUCUCUCAGAGGAGAAGGAGAGAGCCCCAGAAGGAAAGGGGGACUAGGAGGUGCCUUGGCCCAUGCUGAGCAUCCUGGAGUACCUGGAGAGCAGGGAGGUAAUGGUGGCGUUUUUCAACUCCGCUGGAGCCAGUGCCCAGGAGGAGCAGGUAUGGCUUAUGUGGGCAGCUGAAGGAGCAAAGGGUGUGGUGCCAGCGCCUGACUCACCCAGGUGGCCUUGGCCCAGAAGGAGCCAGAGGUAGUGGAACCAGCCCCAGGGACUGGGUAUGAGUCUGUGUGUGGGUAGACUCAUCAGGCCCUGCAGGGGUCCAUGGAGAAGUUGCAGAGCGGCUUUAUGGACCUCCUGAAGGAGAAGGUGGACCUGAAGGAGUGGGUGGAGAAACUAGAGCUUCGAUCCAUUCACCUCUCAGGACAGACAGACACCAUCAGAAAGUAAAUCACAACAUAUGCGGGCCAGAGGGCAGUGCCACAGACGCCGCACCAGGAGGAGGAGGACAUCAUCAGGCUGGCCCAGGACAAAGAGGAGAUGAAGAUGGGGCGUGCAGCACCUCUGUGGGGGUAG